GAUGAAGAACGCAGCGAAAUGCGAUAAGUAAUGUGAAUUGCAGAAUUCAGUGAAUCAUCGAGUCUUUGAACGCACAUUGCGCCCCCUGGUAUUCCGGGGGGCAUGCCUGUCCGAGCGUCAUUGCCGCCCUCAAGCACGGCUUGUGUGUUGGGCCCCCGCCCCCCGGCUUCGGGGGGCGGGCCCGAAAGGCAGCGGCGGCACCGCGUCCGGUCCUCGAGCGUAUGGGGCUUCGUCACCCGCUCUGUAGGCCCGGCCGGCGCCCUCCGGCGACCCCAAUCAAUCUUUCCAGGUUGACCUCGGAUCAGGUAGGGAUACCCGCUGAACUUAAGCAUAUCAAUAAGCGGAGGA
rnacentral:misc_RNA from 1 species